rnacentral:lncRNA from 1 species
UUAUAUGUUAUAUAUGAUAAUCUUUUUAUCCGUCAUGGUGUUGAUCACAUUUCUGAUCUCGUAUUUGCAUUUCACUGUAUUGGUUUGGUAUAGGACCAGGGGAGAGAUAGAUCGAUUUGCUCAAUCUUAGUCUUGGGCUGAUCUUGCUUGCUUUUUUUUUUUACCUUCUUGUUGUAUAGUUAGGAGUCGUUUGGGAGUAAUGAUGCAGGGAAUAUUUCUCAUCCACCGUUUGGUUUGGUGUAUUAAGGGUAGUUUUAUCUUUAGCUUUGCUAUGUAUUUGUUAUACACCAUAUAAUAUUGUAUAGGAUGUAUAAGUAAUACAUGUAUUAGUCAUAGGCUAUAAUAUUGAACAGGGUGUAUAGGUAAUACAUGUGUUAGUCAUCGGCUAGAUAUUUUUCUUUUAUACAGAAAGAUAAUGUAUUAUAAGAGGGAAUGAGGCGGAGAAGCAGGUAGUUCUCUGUCAAUAUGCCUGCUUCAUAAGCUGUUUCUUUCACCAUUUAUUAUAUCAUCUCUAAUUAAUUAUUAUAAUUUUAUUUAUAUAUUAUAAUAUUUAAUAAAAAAG